rnacentral:rRNA from 1 species
UACGUAUGGUGCAAGCGUUAUCCGGAUUUACUGGGUGUAAAGGGAGCGCAGGCGGUACGGCAAGCCUGAUGUGAAAGCCCGCGGCCCAACCGCGGGACUGCAUUGGGAACUACCGGGCUGGAGUGCCGGAGAGGUAGGCGGAAUUCCUAGUGUAGCGGUGAAAUGCGUAGAUAUUAGGAGGAACACCAGUGGCGGAGGCGGCCUACUGGACGGUGACUGACGCUGAGGCUCGAAAGCGUGGGGAGCAAACAGG